AAUAAGGUGGCCGAGAAAAAGCGUUAGAUUGUAAAUCUAGUGACAAGUUAGUAACUUUCUUAUUA
rnacentral:tRNA from 2 species